UACGUAGGGUGCAAGCGUUAUCCGGAAUUAUUGGGCGUAAAGAGCUCGUAGGCGGUUUGUCGCGUCUGCUGUGAAAACUGGAGGCUCAACCUCCAGCCUGCAGUGGGUACGGGCAGACUAGAGUGCGGUAGGGGAGAUUGGAAUUCCUGGUGUAGCGGUGGAAUGCGCAGAUAUCAGGAGGAACACCAAUGGCGAAGGCAGGUCUCUGGGACGGUACUGACGCUGAGACGCGAAAGCGUGGGGAGCGAACAGG
rnacentral:rRNA from 1 species